rnacentral:rRNA from 1 species
AGAGUUUGAUCAUGGCUCAGGAUGAACGCUAGCUACAGGCUUAACACAUGCAAGUCGAGGGGCAGCAUGUUGGUUGCUUGCAACCAACGAUGGCGACCGGCGCACGGGUGAGUAACGCGUAUCCAACCUACCCUUGUCCAUCGGAUAACCCGUCGAAAGGCGGCCUAACACGAUAUGCGGUUCACAGCAGGCAUCUAACGUGAACGAAAUGUGAAGGAGAAGGAUGGGGAUGCGUCUGAUUAGCUUGGUUGGCGGGGUAACGGCCACCAAGGCUACGAUCGAGUAGGGUCUGAGAGGAGGUCCCCACAUUGGAACUGAGACGACGGUCCAAACUCCGUACGGGAGGCA